AGGGCAUACGGUGGAUGCCUAGGCGCCAGGAGCCGAAGAAGGACGCGGUAAGCUGCGAAAAGCCACGGGGAACUGCAAGCGAGUAUUGAUCCGUGGAUAUCCGAAUGGGGAAACCCGGCCAUCGUAAUGGAUGGUCAUCCGCAAGGAAGGGAACCCGGGGAACUGAAACAUCUAAGUACCCGGAGGAAAAGAAAUCAAACGAGAUGCCCACAGUAGCGGCGAGCGAAGAGGGCAGAGCCCAAACCUGUAAGCUACGGCUUAUGGGGGUUGAGGACUGACGUAAUUAAGGCCAGGCUUAGCUGAACUACCUGGGAAGGUAGGCGAUAGAAGGUAAGAGCCCUGUAAGCGAAAGGCAGAGCCUUAAGGUCAGUAUCCAGAGUACCACGGAGCACGAGGAAUUCUGUGGGAAGCAGGGGGGACCACCCUCCAAGGCUAAAGACUAACUGGCGACCGAUAGCGCAUAGUACCGUGAGGGAAAGGUGAAAAGAACCCCGGGAGGGGAGUGAAAUAGUACCUGAAACCGUAUGUCUACAAGCAGUCGGAGCGAAAGCGACGGCGUGCCUAUUGAAGAAUGAACCAACGAGUUAUCUGCACUAGCGAGGUUAAGUGGAAGACACGGAGCCGUAGCGAAAGCGAGUCUGAAAAGGGCGGCGAGUUAGUGUAGGUAGACCCGAAACCGCAGUGAUCUACCCAUGUCCAGGUUGAAGCGCAGGUAAAAAUGCGUGGAGGACCGAACCGGUGAGCGUUGAAAAGCUUUCGGAUGAGAUGUGGGUAGGGGUGAAAUUCCAAUCGAACGCGGAGAUAGCUGGUUCUCCCCGAAAUAGCUUUAGGGCUAGCCUCAGGUAGUAAGUAUAGGCGGUAGAGCACUGAUCGGGCUAGGGGCCAUAAAGGUUACCGAACCCUGUCAAACUCCGAAUGGAUAUACUGCAGAGCCUGGGAGUCAGACUACGAGUGAUAAGAUCCGUGGUCAAAAGGGAAACAGCCCAGACCACCGGCUAAGGUCCCAAAUGCCGUACUAAGUGGAAAAGGAUGUGGGGAUUCAUAAACAACCAGGAUGUUGGCUCAGAAGCAGCCACCAUUUAAAGAGUGCGUAAUAGCUCACUGGUCGAGAGUCCCUGCGCCGAAAAUUUCCGGGGCUAAAGUACGGAACCGAAGCCGUGGCUGUGCAUGUAAGUGCACGGGGUAGGGGAGCGUUGCCACAGGGGUGAAGCUGGUCUGGAAGGACUGGUGGACUUGUGGGAAGUGAGAAUGUUGGUAUGAGUAGCGAAAAGAAAGGUGAGAAUCCUUUCCACCGAAAGCAUAAGGAUUCCUGAGCAACGAUCGUCGUCUCAGGGUAAGUCGGGACCUAAUCCGAGGCAAAGAGCGUAGGAGAUGGACAACAGGUUGAUAUUCCUGUACCGGCAGCAAUUGUUUGAGCGAAGGAGUGACACAGAAGGGCAGGCAGGCGCGAGACUGGAUUGUCGCGUGCAAGCGUGUAGGGUAGUGUACAGGCAAAUCCGUACACUGAGAGCCUGAGGCGUUACGCGGAGCGAGCAGAGAUGCGAGCGAAGCUGCUGAUCCCACACUGUCGAGAAAAGCUUCUAGUGAGAGAGCUGCCGCCCGUACCGUAAACCGACACAGGUAUGCGGGGAGAGAAUCCUAAGGUGCGCGGGAGAACCCUCGUUAAGGAACUCGGCAAAAUGUACCCGUAACUUCGGGAUAAGGGUAGCCGUCUUGGUGAAGGAGCAUGCCUCUGGAGCUGAAGGCGGUCGCAGAGAAGAGGCCCAAGCGACUGUUUACCACAAACACAGGUGCCUGCUAAAGCGAAAGCUGACGUAUAGGUGCUGACACCUGCCCAGUGCUGGAAGGUUAAGGAAGGAUGUCCGGGCAACCAAAGCAUUCGACCGAAGCCCCAGUGAACGGCGGCCGUAACUAUAACGGUCCUAAGGUAGCGAAAUUCCUUGUCGGGUAAGUUCCGACCCGCACGAAAGGUGUAACGAUUUGGGCACUGUCUCAACGAGGGACCCGGUGAAAUUGAAAUACCUGUGAAGAUGCAGGUUACCCGCGACUGGACAGAAAGACCCCAUGGAGCUUUACUGUAACCUGACAUUGGGUUUUGUUGUAUUACGUACAGGAUAGGUGGGAGGCUUAGAAGGCUGGACGCUAGUCUGGCUGGAGCCGGCGUUGGGAUACCACCCUUGAUACAACGGAAUUCUAACCGAGAGAGUAACGAAAUCCGGGACAGUGUCAGGCGGGCAGUUUGACUGGGGCGGUCGCCUCCGAAAGAGUA
rnacentral:rRNA from 1 species